rnacentral:rRNA from 1 species
CCCUUAGAUGCUCUGGGCCGCACGCGUGCUACACUGAGUGGAUCAGCGGGUCAGGUUGCGCGAAAGUGUUUCCUAAUCUUGAAAUCCGCUCGUGAUGGGGAUUGACGGUUGCAAUUUUCCGUCAUGAACGAGGAAUACCUUGUAAGCGCGGGUCAUCAUCCCGCGCUGAAUACGUCCCUGCCCUUUGUACACACCGCCCGUCGCUCCUACCGAUUGAGUGGUCCGGUGAGGCUUUGGGAUCUGAGCAAAAAGAGCGUUUCGCUCGUUUGGCUCGGAAAACUCAGUCGAACCUUAUCAUUUAGAGGAAGGAGAAGUCGUAACA